rnacentral:tRNA from 1 species
AAAGAAUUAGUUAAAUUAACAUUAGUAUGUCAUGCUGAAAUUACUAGUACUUUCACUCUAGUAUUCUUUA